rnacentral:rRNA from 1 species
CCUACGGGAGGCAGCAGUGGGGAAUAUUGGACAAUGGGGGGAACCCUGAUCCAGCCAUGCCCCGUGUGUGAAGAAGGCCCUCGGGUUGUAAAGCACUUUCAGUGAGGAAGAACGCCUGGUGGUUAAUACCCAUCAGGAAAGACAUCACUCACAGAAGAAGCACCGGCUAACUCCGUGCCAGCAGCCGCGGUAAUACGGAGGGUGCGAGCGUUAAUCGGAAUUACUGGGCGUAAAGCGCGCGUAGGUGGCUUGAUAAGCCGGUUGUGAAAGCCCCGGGCUCAACCUGGGAACGGCAUCCGGAACUGUCAAGCUAGAGUGCAGGAGAGGAAGGUAGAAUUCCCGGUGUAGCGGUGAAAUGCGUAGAGAUCGGGAGGAAUACCAGUGGCGAAGGCGGCCUUCUGGACUGACACUGACACUGAGGUGCGAAAGCGUGGGUAGCAAACAGGAUUAGAUACCCCGGUAGUC